UACGAAGGGGGGCUAGCGUUGCUCGGAAUUACUGGGCGUAAAGGGCGCGUAGGCGGAUGUCUAAGUUGGGGGGUGAAAUCCCGGGGCUCAACCUCGGAAUUGCCCUUCAAAACUGGAUAUCUUGAGUUCGGGAGAGGUGAGUGGAACUCCGAGUGUAGAGGUGAAAAUUCGUAGAUAUUCGGAAGAGCACCAGUGGCGAAGGCGACUCACUGGCCCCGAUACUGACGCUGAGGCGCGAAAGCGUGGGGGAGCAAACAGG
rnacentral:rRNA from 1 species